UUGGUUCCGGCAUCGAUGAAGAACGCAGCGAAAUGCGAUAACUAAUGUGAAUUGCAGAAUUCAGUGAAUCAUCGAGUCUUUGAACGCACAUUGCGCCCCCUGGUAUUCCGGGGGGCAUGCCUGUCCGA
rnacentral:rRNA from 1 species